UACAGAGGGGGCUAGCGUUAUUCGGAAUUAUUGGGCGUAAAGGGCGCGUAGGCGGCCAUGCGUGUCUUCCGUGAAAUCCCUCGGCUUAACUGAGGACGUGCGGAAGAAACUGCAAGGCUCGAGUCCGGGAGAGGGGGGUGGAAUUCCUGGUGUAGCGGUGAAAUGCGCAGAUAUCAGGAAGAACACCAAUGGCGAAGGCAGCUCUCUGGGACGGUACUGACGCUGAGACGCGAAAGCGUGGGGAGCGAACAGG
rnacentral:rRNA from 1 species